GCGUCUAUAGCUCAAUUGGAUAGAGCGUCAGCCUCCGAAGCUGGAUGUUCCGGUUCAAGUCCGGAUAGACGCA
rnacentral:tRNA from 1 species